AACGUAGGUACCGAGCGUUAUCCGGAUUUACUGGGCGUAAAGCGCGUUCAGGCGGUUUGGCAAGUCGGGCAUGAAAUCUCUCGGCUCAACCGGGAGAGGUUGUCCGAUACUUCCAGACUUGAGGGCAGUACAGGGUGGUGGAAUUCCGGGUGUAGUGGUGAAAUGCGUAGAUAUCCGGAGGAACACCAGUGGCGAAAGCGGCCACCUGGACUGCACCUGACGCUGACACGCGAAAGCUAGGGGAGCGAACGGG
rnacentral:rRNA from 1 species